CAGGCCACUCUGUAAAGUAGAACACUUCCUAGGAGUGAGAUAUCACGGUGACUGAUUGCCUGAGAUCUCACUACAGUCAAAUGCACCUGGAAAGAAAAUUCUGGUAGGGUCCAGAAUUGACGUCCAUGUGCACAGAAGACUCCAACUCCACUCCCAUGCUCUUUGUCUAUGAAGCCUGCUCUUUCCCUGUUGAGAAAGCAUUUUCUAUAUGGGACCUUGGAUUUUCUAGAAGGCAUUGGACCUCAAACAAGAGAACAGUAUGCCCUCUUAAAGUUGUACUAACAUUAUCUCCAAGUUACAAGAUAUUUAACCAAGCUUCCAAACCCGAUGUAUCUUUUCUGGCUUCACGUUCCCGAAGUGGCAACCUCAUACCACACUUAGAGCAACACGGGAGCUGAGCUACGGGAGAUUCCAGCACAGCUCUGAGGUCUCACCAUCGACCCUGUUGCAGACACAUUCCGUUCUCAAAUCUGAAUGGAGGACCAAUAGCCAUGUUCCCAACAUCAACAGGAUUCAGCUGGUCCGUGGGUUCUUCUAGCCUCUCUUGCUGGAAGAGGAGACAAGGAUGUCUGGGUGACCAGGACUGCUCCAUGACAUACUGAUGGCAGUGUCUAAGGCAUAUGGAUUGGUAGG
rnacentral:lncRNA from 1 species